AACUCAAGUGGUACCAUGAUUGUC
rnacentral:siRNA from 1 species